rnacentral:sRNA from 1 species
GGUUUGCGUGAGGGAUAGGAGUGGAAAUCCUUUAUAUUUUUUCUUUAAAAAUAUAAAGAUUGCAGCGGAAAGCCCGACCCUUG